UAGAAGUUCAAGGGAAGAUCUUUAGAGGGACCGCAGAAAGGAAAGUCAUGUUCAGACGUUACUUACCUUUGACCUUCAUCCAAACAGACAAACCCAUCUACAAUCCAGGACAAACGGUUAAUUUCACAGUUGUUUCUAUGGAUGCCAAAUUUGUGCCCGUUGAUCAGAUGUACGAUGUGGUGGUGGAGG